AGGGGAUUUUUCAGGCCCCUGUGUUGUAAUUGCAUAGCAACCUACUAAACCAUACAGAAUAUACAUAAUGUACAUAUAUAACAAGGCUAGCUAGGCAUCCCUGGUGCUGGAGUUCCAGAAGCAGUGUGUUUUUCCAGCCAUGCAGCACACCUGACUGUACUUAGCAUCUAAAACACUGAGCUAAUUGAUCCAUUUCACUGAUUGAUACAUGCUCCCUCACUGCCACCCACCAGGGUGUCCUACUGAUGAUUUCUUCAAACCUGGUCUUGGGGAACCACGGUGUGUGUGUGCAGGCUUUUGUUCUACCACAGCACUAACACACCUGGUUCAAUUAAUCAAGCUUGAUCUGUUGAAAAUGUGUGUGUUAGAAUGUGAUGAGGCGGUGACUGUGACUCCUCCCAGGUCUCUCCUCUGACUCUCUCUAAGGACAGGUCUGUGUGGAUGAAUAGUACUGGGCUGUGGAGGCUGGCUCUCUCUAAGGACAGGUCUCUGUGUGGAUGAAUAGUACUGGGCUGUGGAGGCUGACUCUCUCUAAGGAUAGGUCUGUGUGGAUGAAUAGUACUGGGCUGUGGAGGCUGGCUCUCUCUAAGGACAGGUCUCUGUGUGGAUGAAUAGUACUGGGCUGUGGAGGCUGACUCUCUCUAAGGAUAGGUCUGUGUGGAUGAAUAGUAUUGGGCUGUGGAGGCUGACUCCCUCUAAGGGCAGGUGUAACGGUUUUCUUGCGGUGAAGGAGAGGCGGACCAAAAUGCAGCGUGGUAAUUUUGAUACAUGUUUAAUAAAACAAAUAAACACGAACAAUACAAAACAACAAACGUAACGUGAAAACCUAAACAUCCUAUCUGGUGCAAACCAACACAGAGACAGGAACAAUCACCCACAAAACACUCAAAGAAUAUGGCUGCCUAAAUAUGGUUCCCAAUCAGAGACAACGGUAAACACCUGCCUCUGAUUGAGAACCACUUCAGGCAACCAUAGACUUUCCUAGAAAACCCCACUAUACCACAAUCCCAAUACCUACAAAAAAACAAGACAAAACACACCACAUAAGUAAAACCCAUGUCACACCCUGGCCUGACCAAAUUAAUAAAGAAAACACAAAAUACUAAGACCGGGGCGUGACAACAGGUCUGUGUGCAUGACUAGUAUUGGGCAGUGGAGGCUGACUCUCCCUAAGGACAUGUCUGUGUGUGUGGAUGAAUAGUAUUGGGCUGUGGAGGCUGACUCUCCCUAAGGACAGGUCUCUGUGUGGAUGAAUAGUAUUGGGCUGUGGAGGCUGACUCUCUCUAAGGACAGGUCUCUGUGUGGAUGAAUAUCAAAUCAAAUCAAAUCAAAUCAAAUUUAUUUAUAUAGCCCUUCGUACAUCAGCUGAUAUCUCAAAGUGCUGUACAGAAACCCA
ensembl:lncRNA